rnacentral:rRNA from 1 species
AGAGUUUGAUCCUGGCUCAGAGCGAACGUUAGCGGCGGGCCUAACACAUGCAAGUCGAACGAGAAAGCUCCUUCGGGAGUGAUUAAAGUGGCGCACGGGUGAGGAACGCGUAGGUAAUCCACCCUCUGGCGGGGGACAACACUCCGAAAGGAAUGCUAAUACCGCGUAAGACCACGCUCACUUCGGUGAAAGCGGUUAAAGGUGCCUCAAAGCACCACCAGAGGACGAGCCUGCGUCCCAUCAGCUUGUUGGUAAGGUAAUGGCUUACCAAGGCGAAGACGGGUAGCUGGUCUGAGAGGAUGAUCAGCCACACUGGCACUGGAACACGGGCCAGACUCCUACGGGAGGCAGCAGUGAGGAAUAUUGGGCAAUGGGCGAAAGCCUGACCCAGCCACGCCGCGUGUGUGAUGAAGGCCUUCGGGUCGUAAAGCACUGUGGGGAGAGACGAAACAGCGCAGGAGGAAAUGCCUGCGCCUUGACGGUACCUCCUUAGCAAGCACCGGCUAACUCUGUGCCAGCAGCCGCGGUAAUACAGAGGGUGCAAACGUUGCUCGGAUUUACUGGGCGUAAAGCGCGUGUAGGCGGACUCGCAAGUCGGUUGUGAAAUCCCUGGGCUCAACCUAGGAACUGCAUCCGAAACUGCUUGUCUUGAGUAAUGGAGAGGGUGGCGGAAUUCCCGGUGUAGAGGUGAAAUUCGUAGAUAUCGGGAGGAACACCAGUGGCGAAGGCGGCCACCUGGACAUUUACUGACGCUGAGACGCGAAAGCGUGGGGAGCAAACAGGAUUAGAUACCCUGGUAGUCCACGCCGUAAACGAUGAGAACUAGGUGCAGCGGAUAUUGACCUCUGCUGUGCCGUAGCUAACGCGUUAAGUUCUCCGCCUGGGGAGUACGGCCGCAGGCUAAAACUCAAAGGAUUGACGGGGGCCC